UCUCGAAUUUUGUUCUCACUUUUAUCGAAUUUUCCUCAUAAUAGUCCUUUACGUUUAUCCGGAGCGAUGAGCCUUGCAACAAUAUUCUCUCUUUCAUCUUCCUUUCUUUUGAUAUAUUUUAUCCAGUAAAUUUUAAUUUAUAUAUACCUUAUGAAAGCAGCAACAUGGUUAAAUGUUGAUAUUAUUUGCAGAUUAUUUGGACAGAAGUUUAUCUACGUUUUGCUCCUUAGAUGACUUGGAACAUGAGCAAUUUUGCUCUACUCAGGAAGAGAGGAGUGCUAUUAAGUAUCACUUAUUCAGUAUGAGAGCUAAGUGAAGAAAAAGAGUAUGUAGAGGUUAAACACUAAAUUCAAUAAGUUGGUUUAGAACAAUCAAAUCAUUUACUGAAAAUGGCUUGAAUUAUUAGCUUUGUUUGGGUUCUCUUCUUCCUUCUUUUAAAUUAAAGUGGUAAACAUUUUGCUUGGUCUAAGAGUAAGUGAGGUAGAAUACAACAAUGAUAUUAUCCUUUU